rnacentral:rRNA from 1 species
AAAGGAACAAACGAGGGCCCGCACAAGCGGCGGAGCAGUUGGCUUAAUUUGAAGAUUCGCGAAGAACCUUACCCUGACUUGACGUGGUAGGAAAAGCUGGGAAGACCCGGUGUGCGGAAGCGCCCGUCACAUGUGGAGGAUGGCUGUUGUCAGCUCGUGCCGUGAGGUGUUGGGUGUAGUUAGCAACGAGCGCAACCCCCACCCCGCGUUGCCAUUGGGUAGUGCCGGGCACCCGCGGGGGACCGACGGGGCCAACCCGGAGGAAGGUGGGGAGGGCGUCAAGUCAUCAAGCCCCUCACGCCCGGGGCUGCACACGUGCUACAAUGGCCGGCACAGAGGGAUGGGACCCCGCGAGGGGGAGCGGACCCCGCAAAACCAGCCCCAGUUCGGACCGGGGGCUGCAACCCGCCCCCGCGAAGCCGGAGUCGCUAGUAAUCGCGGAUCAGCACGACGCGGUGAAUGUGUUCCCGGGCCUUGUACUCACCGCCCGUC